rnacentral:sRNA from 1 species
AUUUCUGUAAACAAAGGGGCAGGCCUGAAGAGGCCAAAGUUAAUUUCAGAGAACACUUUACGUGGUGCAAUUUGGAAAGUCAGUUGCAUUCAGACCCACAACCAGGGCCUGGCUCAGGCACCGGACCGGACCAGCAACACAUUUGAGAUCCACCCGGGAUGGCGCUCCCCCAUUCCUUUGGCAGCCCAACACUCGAAGCGGCGACGACGCUAAAAAGAUACCGGAAAUGUUACAGGAAACAAAAUGACUUAAUGGCCGCGAUUGCCACGGCAUGGAAUCGUUACAGACAUCGUCCUCUGGUCCUCUGGUCCUUGCUCGUUGCUCGUUGCUCCUUGGUCCAUGGUCCAUCCUGCUAGCCAUUCAUUGCAGUUGCCGAGGUCAGCAUAAAAGCAUAAUGGAAAGGUUAUCGCUGCUAUGGCAUGACUGGUAUGCUCUUUCACAGAUCGAAAUACUAAAUACUUCAUUAUACGAGUAUUCGAGAAAAGAGUUUUCAAUAUAGAGUUUUAACUU